AGGACGAACGCUGGCGGCGUGCUUAACACAUGCAAGUCGAGCGGAAAGGCCCUUCGGGGUACUCGAGCGGCGAACGGGUGAGUAACACGUGAGCAACCUGCCCUUAGCUCCGGGAUAGCUCCGGGAAACCGGAAUUAAUACCGGAUACGACCACGGCCGACAUCUGCUGUGGUGGAAAGGAUUCCGGCUAGGGAUGGGCUCGCGGCCUAUCAGCUUGUUGGUGGGGUAACGGCCUACCAAGGCGACGACGGGUA
rnacentral:rRNA from 1 species